GACGAACGCUGGCGGCGUGCUUAACACAUGCAAGUCGUACGGUAAGGCCCUUUCGGGGGUACACGAGUGGCGAACGGGUGAGUAACACGUGAGUAACCUGCCCACAACUUUGGGAUAACGCUAGGAAACUGGUGCGAAUACUGGAUAUGUGCUCCUGCUGCAUGGUGGGGGUUGGAAAGGUCCGGCGGUUGUGGAUGGACGCGCGGCCUAGCAGCUUGUUGGUGGGGUAGUGGACUACCAAGGCGGCGACGGGUAGCCGGCCUGAGAGGGUGACCGGCCACAUUGGGACUGAGAUAAGGCCCAGACACCGACGGGAGGGAGAAGUGGGGAAUAGUGAACAAUGGGCGCCAGCCUGAUGCAGAAACGCCGCGUGCGGGAUGACGGCCUUCGGGUUGUAAACCGCUUUCAGCAGGGACGAAGCUUUUUGUGACGGUACCUGCAGAAGAAGCACCGGCUAACUACGUG
rnacentral:rRNA from 1 species